CGCCUCCCCUGCCACACUCCCCUGACGCCGCGACGACGCCCCCUGCGACGACGUCCUGCGAGGGGAGGCACCGUCCCCAACGCCGCCGACGCGCCGCCCACGACGCCGACGCCCCCGACGUCGCGCCUCCGACGCCGCCGCCGCCCCCGACAUCGCGCGCCCCCGCACCCUGCCACGCCGCCGCCCCCGACGCGCGCCCACGACGCCGACGCCCCCGACAUCACGUUGCGACUCACCCGAGCCGUCGGCGCGUCGCUCCUUCCCCGCGGCACCCCGCGACUGCGCGCCCCCGACGCGCCUCCCCCCGACGCCUCCUCCUCCCUCGCGGCGCGCCGGCGCGCCCUCCCCUCCUCUCCGUUUGCACGCUCCUGACAGCGCGCCUUCCCCCUCAUCUCCGCCUUCCCCUCCUCUCCGUCCGCACGCCCCUGAGAGGCUGAGAUCAGCACGCCGCGUUCCUCGAUUUCGACGUCGCCUCCACGAUCCACCGCCAUGGUCGUCGGUGGGCUCGAGCAGGUGCUGGUCGCCCCGCCCCCUCGCCAUCGUCGUCGAGGAUCCGUCGCCGACCCUCUUCGUCGCCGUCGCCGUUGCAAUUUUGGUCAUCGCGUACCACACUGACGCAAUUCCUCCACGCCCCGCCGCGCGCUGAAGACGGAGAUUCUCCACUCCCCAUCGCGCUACGCUGGCGCCGUUCCUCCUCCUGUCGCCGCAUCGGCAUGGGCGCUGCGGAGGGACGUGUUGGUCGUCUCAGAUUCAUUCUUGCGCAUGUCCGUGCAAUGGAAGGAUAAUCAUGAAGAUGAGUUUUUGUACAGCACGGAAGUUGAUCUAUCUAGAUGAAGACUCCAGACAGCUUUAGGUCAAUCCCUGCUGCCUUAACACAGGGCAAAGUGCUUCAUGGAACUUCUCAUACUUGAAGAAAAGGGGGCAGGACUGCAAGCAAGGGGAGCAAAAUUGAACACGACCAUGAGGAGGAUCUAGGCAAAAGUUAUGUCUUUUGCAAUUGGCGAUUUGGUCAGUAGGAAGCGAGGAUGAUAAUACUGCUGCUCCCUAUCCUGAACCACUGUCUGACCAAUUGGAUAAAUCCAGUGUUGGGGAUGGUCUUCAGUUAUUUGAGUUUCAAGACUGCAAUGUGGGAUUUGAAGUGCCUGGCACAUUUCCACCAUCACAUUUCGAUUCUGCAUCAGUAUCCAUCAAGAGUGGGAAAAUUUUCCUAUUUGGCUGGCUCCAAAGUAGCUGCAUGAUGUGGUGCAGUAUCCCCUUGCGUUAUUCCUCACCUCAUGGAUUCAAGCAUGUCAUUCAGUCAAGAUACAAAAUUGGUAAAAGAGAGCCAUAAACAUUCAAGAAGUAAAUCAAGCAAAUAUCUGCAGAAAUUAUAGGAUCUAGGAUGUUUCGCUGGGGAAGGUACUUUUGAUGUAGGAUAAAUAGUUGUAUACACAAGUAAUAGUGAAGGUAAGCUCAACCGACUUGGUAGGCAUAUGACAUUUCUAAUGGACUGUUGACUGAAUGUCGGGAUCCAUAAAUGCCACCAUCUCUGAAACUUUUAAUACAUAUAUGCAACAAUGAUAACAGGACUGACACAAUCAUAUUUGGUGGCUGCAACUGUAACUUUCUAAUAUGUAUUAGCUGCUGGUGCUAUCAGUCCUCUGAUGUUUAAUUUCAAAACAAUGUGCAAUCUGAAUUUUCAGAAUGUAUCCUUCAGUCUAAAUCUUCAGACCUGUUUAUUUUGGCUUUGACAAAUGAAUAUGAUAUUAUAGUCUAACUUGUCCAAUGUUCCAGAAGGAUUUUGUGGGAGAUGCAAUUAAUACCAUGAGCCUCAAGGAUCGUAAGAAGCUAGAGGGCAAGCUUGAGAAAGGCGGCCUUUCAUGUUUCCCCUUGCACACACAGACAAAGUGAAAUCUCCUAAUGCUGAUUUUAAACCCCACAAGUAGAUGGGUACCGUUAAACGCUCAUGUAGAAGAUUAAAGGAAAUAGUUGAACCCCACAAGUAGGUCCAAAAAAUUUAAUCUUACAUUGCAUUCUUUGUAGAAACAGAGGGAGUACCCUUCUCUGUUAAUUGAGACAAAACUAUAACCAAUAAAAGGGUUUGUUUCGAAUUUGUAGUAGAUUUGUCGAGAUGAACACGCUGCAUGCUUCUCCGUUAGAAGAAUUACUGCAUUAUUGUAUUUGGGUACUUGGGUACUAUUGAGUCACAACUAGAAAGCUUAAUCCUUGUUCUUCUGUGUUCAAUGUGGCCGAACUUUGAAAGUUAUUACAGGUCUGGUUUGGUUCUUCUGAA